rnacentral:rRNA from 1 species
CCAGACUCCUACGGGAGGCAGCAGUGAGGAAUAUUGGUCAAUGGACGAGAGUCUGAACCAGCCAAGUAGCGUGAAGGAUGACUGCCCUAUGGGUUGUAAACUUCUUUUAUAAAGGAAUAAAACGAGGCACGUGUGCCUUUUUGCAUGUACUUUAUGAAUAAGGAUCGGCUAACUCCGUGCCAGCAGCCGCGGUAAUACGGAGGAUCCGAGCGUUAUCCGGAUUUAUUGGGUUUAAAGGGUGCGCAGGCGGAGGUGCAAGUCAGCGGUCAAAUUGCGGGGCUCAACCCCGUACUGCCGUUGAAACUGCAUCCCUUGAGUGCGCGAGAAGUAUGCGGAAUGCGUGGUGUAGCGGUGAAAUGCAUAGAUAUCACGCAGAACUCCGAUUGCGAAGGCAGCCUGCCGCAGCGUUACUGACGCUGAAGCUCGAAAGCGCGGGUAUCGAACAGGAUUAGAUACCCUCGUAC